rnacentral:rRNA from 1 species
AUUGAACGCUGGCGGCAGGCUUAACACAUGCAAGUCGAACGAGUGGCGGACGGGUGAGUAAUGCUUGGGAAUCUGCCCGAUAGAGGGGGAUAACUACUGGAAACGGUAGCUAAUACCGCAUACUAUCGGAUGAACCCAUAUGGGAUUAGCUAGUAGGUGGGGUAAAGGCUCACCUAGGCGACGAUCUCUAGCUGGUCUGAGAGGAUGAUCAGCCACACUGGGACUGAGACACGGCCCAGAAUCCUACGGGAGGCAGCAGUGGGGAAUAUUGCACAAUGGGCGCAACCCUGACGCAGCCAUGCCGCGUGUAUGAAGAAGGCCUUAGGGUUGUAAAGUACUUUCAGUGGGGAGGCGUUACCCGCAGAAGAAGCACCGGCUAACUCCGUGCCAGCAGCCGCGGUAAUAC